GAUGAACGCUAGCGGCAGGCUUAAUACAUGCAAGUCGAACGGGAAUUGGGUAGCAAUACCUGAUGAUAGUGGCGCACGGGUGCGUAACGCGUAUGCAACCUACCUUUAACAGGGGGAUAGCCCGGAGAAAUUCGGAUUAAUACCCCAUAGUAUUAUGGAGAGGCAUCUUUUCAUGAUUAAAGUUCCGGCGGUUAAAGAUGGGCAUGCGUGCCAUUAGCUAGUUGGUGAGGUAACGGCUCACCAAGGCGACGAUGGUUAGGGGUCCUGAGAGGGUUAUCCCCCACACUGGUACUGAGACACGGACCAGACUCCUACGGGAGGCAGCAGUAAGGAAUAUUGGUCAAUGGGCGGAAGCCUGAACCAGCCAUGCCGCGUGCAGGAAGACGGCCUUAUGGGUUGUAAACUGCUUUUGUCAGGGAAUAAACCCUCGUUUGCGAACGAGGCUGAAGGUACCUGAAGAAUAAGCAUCGGCUAACUCCGUGCCAGCAGCCGCGGUAACUAGUCUACG
rnacentral:rRNA from 1 species